rnacentral:pre_miRNA from 1 species
AUUAAGUGAUGUUUUCCACUGUUCACGUUCAACGUUUGACUGUUCGUCUUAUUUGAAAAAAAUUUUAUGAUUAGUAUUUUUAUUGUUAUUUUCAUAGUACUUUAUGUGUGACUAAAACGGGCGGUCAAACGCUGGACACAGAUACCCACGGCUGCAUUUAUC